AGUGUAAUCCUCUUCAGGACCUCCACUGGUUGUUGGUUUGGUUACCCUCACGACUCCGCUUACGAGGAUAAAGGCUUCGUUUCGUCUUCUCCCGACCUCGUUUACCAGGAGUCUCAUCAAGUUCUGCUCACCAGAGACCGUUGUUGAUUGUUUCGUUGGUUUCUAUCGUUUCGAGCUCAGUCUGGACUUGGAUGUCGCUUCAAGAAAGAGGAAGUGUACAGGCAGCAUGACCC